ncrna:unclassified sequences Glutamine-II riboswitch (downstream peptide RNA)
AAUCGUCCGAUCUACCAUCUGAUAGACCGCAGUAAGAUUCAAGCCAUAGGACGGGGACUUGAG